GGGUCAGUAGGUUGGUCGUGCCACCGGUACGUACUGGUCUCACUGAUUCCUCCUUCCUGAAGAACCGUAAUGCCAUUAAUUUGGUGUUGCGGGGAAACAGGACUGUUACUUUGAAAAAAUUAGAGUGUUUAAAGCAAGCUAACGCUUGAGUACAUUAGCAUGGAAUAAUGGAAUAGGACGAUCGAUCCUAUUUUGUUGGUUUCUAGGAUUGACGUA
rnacentral:rRNA from 1 species